rnacentral:lncRNA from 1 species
GGGAGCAGAGGGUUAAACUAUUUUAACCUGAGAUGACUAGUACUUUAAGGCAUAACUUCUCAUUUCCUAUGAAGCCAGAUUUUUACUGUGGCCAAAUGUCUCUAAUUCCAUCAUGUGGCUAUGACGUCUUUUAUAUUUAUUAAUAACAUGUUGGUAAAUUUCAUUUUUAAAUGAACACACAUCUUUGCCUAACACUUCUGAGUAGUAUUUAAAUUGGGAAUUAAAAUAAUAACCUUCAUAUUAAAUAUCCAGCAAACCAUCAACAAUUCUGAGCAUCGCUAUGUAGAAGCCAUGUCAGAAAUAAGAACAUAAAAACUACCAUAAUGUUGAGGAAGACUGCCCUGGAGUCAGACACACCGAGUACGGAUUUUUCCUUCACUACUGAGAAACUUCUUGGUCUAGUUACUUCACACCUUAGUGACUCCAUAAUUUCAUUUUUAAAAUGUUAUAUACAAUAGUAUGUGCAUCGGCAGAUUGAUGUGAGGAUUCAAUGAAUUAAUAUAUAUAAAUCACAGUGCCUUGUGAAUUAUGUGAAAUCUAAAUAAACGUUAGCCGUUAUUAUUAACAUUAGUGUUCCUAGUAUUGAUAGGUCAACUCUCUGAUACAUUUAACUUUCACUUUCUUCUUUCUUAUUUUUAUACUCUUGUUUGUUGGAAAUAUAGUUCCUGGGUCAGCUUUUUCAAUAUUUCUAGGUUUAUCACCAAGUCAUAAAUAGAAAGGUACUAUGCGGAAGGGCCAACACAUUUCAGCUUCUCCAACAAUCACAGGGCAACAGAUUUUUAAAUGAUAUUGUUAUAACAGCAUGAAAAACUUAAAUUUUUCUACUCAGAGAGACGUACAUAAGGAGAAGGAACUCAUCUUCGGAAAUCCAGUAGAGGAAUGUCCAUCCAGUUCUGUUAAACACCUCUAAAGACCUGUUCUCCUAAUUAUCUACAGACAAGCAUUACCUUCCUUCCACAGACCCCUCUCUUCCAUAAAUGUAGUAGCAAGGUCCCAGUACCAAGGGCCAUCUGGGUGUUUCACCAUCCCACCUGGUUCAUGCCUCCCACAGCUGCCAACAUGUCUUUCAGGAUCAGAGGAAUCUCCUAGGCUCCCCAUCUGCCAUCACAGCACUCAGGGAAGCCCUGCUCCUACCAGACACAGCUUCAGCAGAGAUCGAGAUUAUAGACUUCAAAGCAAGGAAUUUGCACGUUUGAUAUUUUAAGCAUUGGAAACAUGAAAGAGACUCUAACCAACGAGAAUAAAAGGUCAGUUUUGUGAUUCCUCUUCA